rnacentral:lncRNA from 1 species
GUGAAUAUUCUUUUGUUGGCUGAUUUUGCCAGUAAAAUCUUGGAAAUCUUGGGCUAAAGUGAUUACUCUUCUGAUGGCAAAAGAGGUUAUAACCUCAGAUGAACAGGUAGUUUUCAAUCUAAAUUUCUGUGUCUCAGAAUGUAACACAUGGUUAACUCUCCCCAUCUUUUCAUUCUGUUGCAUUUUCUUUCAGUAAAUACCAAUUGAAUGAUGCCUCUUACAUAAAUGCCUGCCGGUUGGCUAAAUCAUUCCUUUAGGUUGUUCUUGGUGAGGAAAUUGGCCGUGUGAGAUUGAUCACUUGAGCCAGCCUCGGCGAUUGAAUGUUAUUUCAUCUAAAGUGGUAUGUUGAAGGAAUAGACUCAAUAUUGUUCUGUUAUUAUCUUAGUUUCUGUGAUGAAGGGACAUUUCAGACUCCCAGUAUUCGUUGACUAGGUUGCUUUGCUAGCAGAGUACCUGGAAAAAUGGGAAAAAGAUGAUAAUGCAGAGUUCAUACUGAUCAAGGUAUAAUUCGAAGUUAUUACUCAUAUUAUGAAAUUUGAUGAUCGAUUAGUAGCAUUUUUGCUUUUAUGUCUGCAAUUUAAAUGUAAGUUGCUCAUGUUUUCUUAAGGAGCUGGACAUGCUUUUUCUGCUAGUGGGGAUUUGAAAAUGCUUUAUGAUGGAAGGACGUCGAGUAAUUAAAUUAAGAGUAAAGGAACUUUAUCUGUUUAGCACUGCAAAAGUUCCCUUAGCAAUCUAUUAUUUUAUUUCUCAGAGGAUUCAUGUCUUGAAGUGGUUUAUAGAAUGUAUUGGCUUUGUUACCACAUCCAUGCCUAUCAGAAAACACAGGUAUGAUCAUAACCUACAUCAGUUUAUUUUCUUGUGCUCCUAUCCUUGUCCAGCAGCUGUUUUGUCUCCAAUAAGCCCGAUGUUGAAGGUAUACAGCUUGUAGACUUGCCUGGACUAGCUUUUUCAUUGUUUUUUGGUGAAGUGUACAAUAUGGCUUAAGAUGUUUCUCAAAUUUAUGUGAAGAUAAAUGAUAUUGGAGCUAUGGGGAUUCUUUGGUUUGCUAUGGGGUUUGUUGUUCAACAAGUAGACUAGAUUACGCAUAGACGGAUGCCUUAUGAUAAUAUCUAUCCACCAAUACAAAUUUUAUAUUUAUAUGAAAAGCUUAAAAAAAGAAAAUAAAGAAAAAAAAGGUAAUGGAUCUGGUUCUCAUGUUUGCCUUUGAGCCCUGAGAACUCAAUCGUUUUCAAUUUGAAAGACAUAAAUUUAAACUUUUAUCACUAAACCCGCCCAAACCAUCUGUACUAUUUCUUCUGGUUCUAGGAAUUUUUCACUCUUCUAUGCCAUUAGCCAAUUACAGUUUUUGGUCAAUGAUCCAUACUUAGUGGAAAUGAUCUUUCUACGGUCAUUAUUUUCCAUAUAUCAACUGCAGAGUAUAUAAAUGUGCUAUUAGCUGCAAUACUUAAAAUGGAUAAAUUUGAAAUUUAAAGACUACUAUCUAUCAAUUUAUACUCUUUAUAGAUAGUGUGGUAUUUUUGUUGAGGACAGCUGAUACUGAAGAUACAUACUUAAGUCCCUGCUUUGGAAUUUUAUUUAGGCUUGUGGAAAUCUGAGUGAAGCUGAUGUCCCCCCCCCCCCCCCCCCCCCCUUUUUUUUUUUCCUGUGAGGUAACCAGAAGCUAAUGUUUUCUCGUAAAUACGUUGGUCUCAUUUAAGCUAAGUGAUGAUGGAAUCUGAAGCAAAAAUGAAGGUUAGUAAGAGAAGUUUCUGCAUUAUUAUUUUUAAUGUUCAUGCGAUGCUUAAUAUGCUUCAAAGUUGAACUUCAAUGCUGUUGCAAUUAUGCAACACACAGACACCAUCCGACGCAUAAAAGGGCAUUGGUCGACAUCAGGAACCGGGAAAUUUACCGCUAAUCACAUUGUUGCUCUUAAAGUAAGCAAGGGGCUGAAUGUUAUAGAACUUGCAAACAAGAUUCAAGUUAGAAUAAACUAUUGCUUGGUCACUCCUACUCUGGUUUAGGCUAUUCUUCAUAAUUUUUCUGAUUUAAGUUUGAAUCUAUGAAGAAAUCUGGGCUCUAUAGCCUGAUAACAAGCAAACACCAGAGGGUCCUAUUUCUGUUGGUUUCUCUAGGGAUCCAAUAUUUUUUCAAAAAAAAUAGUUCCUUGAGUGUAUUGUUUAUGAUCUUUUCUUUUCAUUUUUUCCCUACUGAUUUUUAUUUUUAUUUUUAUUAUUAUUAUUUCCCCCCCUUUUUGUUUUUUGUUUUUUGUUUUUUUUUUCUCGUUUAGGUAUCUUCACUUGCAAGAAAUUCUACGUUUAUUUAACAUUUUUGAAAGAAGGGAUUUCCUUUUGUUAAUUGAUGUAUUUUUUAUAAGGGAAUACAGGUGGAAAAAUACAUUCGAACCAACUUAUGAAUAUCUUUAAUAUUUAUGGAUGAAUAUCUCAAAUUUAAUGCACGUUUACCCUACUAGUACAAAAGGAAAAGAACCUGAAAAUUUUAAUUCCCUGAACGUGUGAAUUUUCUGACUCGGAUAAUAAUUGAGAGAAGACUUUGUGUAAUUUGUUCACUAGUCACUUAUUAAAAGGAUAAUAAUAACAAUUAUGCUACAAGUACAAAAUGCUGCGACAAAAAUUCUUACAAACAGUUAGGGGUGUCAAAAAGGCUUGAUGGCUCCGAUGGUCUGUGGUUUUCCCGAGUCGGCUCGGCUUGUGGUUCGGAGCAACUGAGCCGAGGCUUGGGCCAAGCCCCAUUUUGGGGACACGGGCCGAGCCUGAGUCGGCCACGAGCCUUUAAUUUAUUAAAAAAAAAAAUCGCCCGGAAAAAAGAUGCAGCAUUUGCUGCCUUUAGAGGCAGCACUUUUGCCUUUUAAAAGGCAGAAUUUGCUGCCUUUCAAGGUAGCAAAACGUGAGGAAACCUUUAAAAAAAAAAAAAUAUGGAGGGCCAAGGCAGCCCAGAAAGGGGGGAAAAAAAAAAAAGAGACGGCUCGGAAAAGCUCGAGCCGAAAUUUUUUGGUUGAGCAAAAGCUUGGCUUGGCUUAAACUCGUAAAAAAGCUCGACCAUUUUAAUUUAGUCGAGUUCGAGUCAAAAGUUUUAGGCUCGGCCUUGAUUGGGCUGGGCUCGUUGAUAUCCUUACAAACAGCACAUGGCAUGACGUCAUUGAGAGAUGGGAAAAAAAGAGAAAAAAAAAAGUCUAAUCACAUUUUGCCACUUUAGCACCGGUACAAGUUUUGUUAAAUUUUUUAUGGACUCAUCGCUUUAUUGUGGUAACAGGAUAACAAUAAAUAUAAAAACAGCCAUCAAAUGCAUAUCUCAUAAUCACACUUACUAAAUAUAAAAAUAAAGGAUUUCAUCCCAACUAAUCCCACUCCCUGUCAACAAUCGCACUGAUUAAAUUUUUUCAAAGAUUAAUUUGUGCAAUGCAUUCGAUUAAAAUAAAAAACUUAUUAGAUCAUAACACCGAAGAAGUUUACAGACAAGUGAAUGAUGACCUUAAAGCAAAUAUUUUACAGCUUCAUGUGAAAGUUAGUUACAAAUUUAUUUAAUUAGUCGUUUGAUUUUACCAUUUAUUGUAUCUAAUGUUUAGUUUAAAUUUGUCCAAGUAGUUAAAAGGGUCAUGUAUAACUACAAUUUCAUCCUUUGUUGUAAUAAUUUACUAUGAUGAAAAGAAGUUUCAAACACCUUAUAAUCUCUAAAAUCUCUCCCCUUUCGAUGAUGUUCAAAUAAGCCAUAGUGAUGGCUCUUUAUUUAUAAAAAAAAUUAGGGCAAAAUCAAAAUUAUAAGUAUGAAAAUUUUAAACUAUCUUUAAUGAAAUUCUGGCUUGCAUAAUGACAAUAAUUAUGUUCUACAACUCAACACUUGGAACUCCAAGAUGAACCAUUCAUGCAUUUAAUUGCCUAGGGCUGAAGGUUAAAUUCUUGUAACCAAAUAUAUUUUGAGGCACCGUGAUGUGGCCUGUUAGCAAAAACAUGAUCAUGCGUUCCUAUGAAAAGCUUGGUAGCCUGUGGGGAUGACAGAAAGGCUAGUUGAUAAGGACAAGAAACAAAAUUGAAGCAAAAUAUCAGGCAAAUAAUAAGUUGCUUAUAACCUGAGCCAAACAUAGUUUGAUUUCUUUUCUUGAGUUAUUACUGUUGGAAAACAUGGAGGAGAAAUGGAGUAGAGGAUAUAAUAAGAUCACAAUAAUGCAACAACAAAAUAGCUAACACCAGAAAUUUGAUAAGAACGAGAUCGAAGACUCGAAUGUGUAAUCGUUAUUUUCAAACUAUAUUUGCCUUCUCUCGAUACUGAUUGAGAUGAUUAAGGAUUUUUGGCAAACGGUUUGUAGGAUUAUAUCAAGCCUUGUAAAUGAUCUAGCACAAAAAUACAAGAGCGAUCCUCCAAAACUUUAAGAACACAAGAAAGAAAAGAGUAAGAAUGUAAAUCAAGUGUUUGAUCUUUGAUGUUGGAAUGAAUGUCAAUCUCAAGUGUUUUUCUCAUUUUUUCUUUUGAGAUUCAUCACCUAUUUAUAGGCAAACACCAAGUGUGUAGAAAUAGCACCAAAAUAGGUUGAAAAGCCACCAAAACUUGAAUUUCCAAUGACAAGAAACGACCUCCAACGGUCUAAUUUUAAUAACCAUCCAUGCGGUUGCAUGGAACAACUUAAACCGGCCUCUAUUUUCCCUGUAAGGUCGCAUGGCACAAAUUGAGGCCUUCAAUGCAGUUUUUUUAGUUUUUAUUAGUUUCAUUCCUCUUCAUUUUUUAGUUAAAUUUUUGAACAAUAAUUCAACAGUCACCACUUGUUCGAAAUUCAAUAAAGAAUCACAUACUCAAAUCAUACUAUACUCAUGCAUAAGGAUUAGAUAUCUUUCGACUUGAAUCCAGCCAUAGUGUAAUACAAACAAAGUAAAGUCGGAAUCAAAGGUAGCCGUUGCCUUGAACUAAUUAUUCCAUUUGACAAUACCGGUUCGAACACACACACGAGUAUCACGUGUUCUCAAGUUCCUCAUAACUCGCUUAGGACUGUUAUGGCCUUGCGUUCAUCCUAUUCGAAAAAUUUUUAAGAGAGAAACUCCAACUCUCAAUUGAGGCGACACUAACUAGAAGUUUGUUUAAAUGAAGUUCUUCCAGUACUUUUGUUACUUUUAGAGGUACCUGUGUUUCAGUACUGAACUUCAUGAAGAGCUUUAAUACUCAACCCUCAUUUCAGUAACAACCAGCAUUAUUUUACUUAGGAUAGAGUUAUUGCGAAUUUGAAUAAUGUUGAAACCAUCCCACAUAUCGAAUGACUUGUUUUUACUCUUUGAACCCGUGGAUUACCUUUUGAAUAAUGACGAGUGGGGUUGCCGCCAUUGGUGGACCUUUAUUGCGAAAGGAGUUUCAACGUUAUUCUACUCAAAGUAGAUGCCAUUAAUUAUCUAUUUAGUGGUUAGUUUAAAGGAUCAGCUAAGUUCUCAAUUGACUUUACAUAAUUUAAGGAAAUUAUUCCAUCUUUGAUUAAUUUCCUUAUGUAGUCGUGUCUUAGACUCAUAUGUCUAGACUUCCAUUGUAUACCUUAUUGUAUGCUUUCGCUAACGUGUUUUGACUAUCACACAUGAUAGAUAUUGUAGACAUAUUUUUCGAUCCCAAAAGUAUCUCAUAGAAGAGAUCCUUAAACCAUUCAACAUCUUUCCUGGUAUCUGAUAGUGCCACAAAUUCAGAUUCCAUGGUCGAGUGUGUUAUACAUGUUUGUUUCUUUGAUUUCCAACAAACAACACCUCCUCCAAGAGUAAAUACCCUACCCUAGGUGAAUUUACUUUCAUUCGUGCUAGAUAUCCAACUAGCAUCGGUAAAUCCCUCCAAUACUGUCGAGAAUUUAUUAUAUUGUAGGCCCAAGUUCUUCGUUUUCUUUAAGUAUCUAAGAACUAAACCAAAAACUCUCCCAAUAGCCUUCCAAUGGUCAUUGCUCGGAUUGCUAGUAAACCUUCUAAGUUUACUUAUUGCAUAGGCUAUGUCCCAUUUUGUGCAUUGAACUGCAUACAUAAGAUUCCCUAUAACACUUGCAUACUCCAAUUGAGCAAUUGCCCUUCCACUAUUCUUUACAAGUGUCAGAUUUAGAUCGAUUGGGGGUACUUUAUUCUUUUAAGUUCAAGUGUUUGAACUUAUUUAUCACAUUCUUGAUAUAAUGUGAUUGACUCAAAUGGUAACCCCCAUAAAUCUUUGUGACUUUGAUACCCAAAAUGGUAUCCACCUGUCCAAGUUCCUUCAUCUUGAAUAUGGAAGAUAGAAACCUCUUUGUUUCUUCUAUAUCGUCCACGUGAUUACUCAUAAUCAACAUGUCAUCAACAUAUAAGCAUAUAAAUGUUACAUAGUUUUCACAUAUUUUGGAAUAUAAACAUUUAUCUACACUAUUAUGUUUAAACCUGAAUGAUAUAAUUACUAAAUCAAAUUUCUCAUGUCAUUUCUUAGGUGCCUGCUUCAAAUCAUAAAAAGAUUUCAUCAACUUGCACACCUUGUGUUCAUUCCGAGGUAAUGUAAAUCAUUCGAAGUUGUUCCAUAUAGACCUCCUCAUCGAGAUGUUUAUUUAGGAAUGUUGUUUAAACAUUCAUUUGAUGAACAUGCAAGUCAUAUAUUGAAGUUAAAGAAAAUAAAAUCCUAAUCGAUGUUAUUCUAGCUACCGGUGCAUAAGUAUCAAAAUAGUCGAUUCCUUCCUUUUGUCGAUAUCUUUUGGUUAAGAAUCUAGCCUUGAAGGCAUUUAGAGAUCCAUCAACAUUGUAUUUUCUCCUAAAUACCCAUUUGCAUCCAAUAAGUUUGGAUCUCAUUGGUAAAUCAGCAAGUUCCCAAGUAUUAUUGGAUAUUAUCGAAUCCAUUUCAUCCUUGAUUGCAUCCUUCUAAAAGACGUUGUCACGUGAAGCCUAGCUUCUUUAUAAGUCUUAGUUCCAGUUUCUAUUUGUAGAACAAAAAGAAUUGUUCUUACAACAUUCAACUCGUUUCCCUCCACUAGGUAAAAGAAGAUAAGUUGAGAAUCGAUUUCAUCCUGUCCCAAAGAUUUCUCAACUCGAGUUUUCUUGCUUCUUCGUGGUUCACUAGAUUCAUCAACAUCUUUAGAAGACAUUUCAUCAUGUGUUCCACUUAAGCUAAUGAUAUUUUUAAGAUUUUCCCUCAAUUAAUUAUUCGAAGAUAACAAAUUCUCAAAGAACUCCAUAUUGUUGGAUUUGAUAAUCACAUUGGACUCCAAAUUCAACAAUCUAUAAGAUUUUCUAUUAUUCGAAUAUCCCACAAAUGCACAUUUAAUGUCUCUUGGAAUUUGGCCCUAUUCGGAUUCGUGUUCUUGCAAUAAGUAAGACACCCCCACCCUUUGAAGUAUUCAAUGUUCAUUUUUCUUCCUUUUCGCAAGUCAUGAGAAGAAACCUUAGUAUAUUUCGAAGGAAUCCUAUUAUGUAUCCUACAUUCACUUAAUAAAAUUUCACCCCACAAGAUAAAUGGAACCUUAUCAAGAAUAAGCAUGGCAUUAACAAUUUCAACUAAGGUUCUAUUUUUUCUUUCAGCCAAGCCAUUUUGUUCGGGUGUCGUAGGUGCAGAACAUUGGUGAAUAAUUUCAUGUUGUUCACAAAACAAGUUAAAAUCGCUGAAAAAAUAUUCACCACCUUUAUUACUUCUUAAGGUCAAAUUUUCUUUCCUAGAUAAUUUUCAAAUUCGUUUUUGUAUACAUUAAACAUAUGAAAAGCUUCACUUUUAAGCUUUUAUCAAGUAAACAUACAUAUAUCUAGAAAAGUUAUCAAUGAAGGUAAUAAAAUACUUAUUUCCUCCCCUAGUUAACAUGCCAUUCAUUUUACAUAUAUCAGUAUGAAUAAGUUCUAAAAUGUUAGAAGUCAUUUUCACAAUAUGAUAAGGCUUUUUGAUCAUUUUAGAUUCUACACAUAUCUUGCAUUUUCAUAAUUCCCAUAAUAUGAAAUCAAUUCACAAUUUUUCAUGCGUUUUAUGGUAUAUAUUCCAAUAUGACCUAAUCUAGCAUGCCAUAGUGAAAAUAAAUUCGCAAUAUAGGCAAAAUCAGUUUUAUUCAGUUCAUUGUCAACGGUACAUAAUUUGACCAUUCCUUCACAAGAAUAGCAUUUUCCAAGAAAUUUCCCGUUAAUGGAUAAUACAAGUUUUUCGGACUUGAAUACACUUUUAAUGCCCGAUUUACCUAAAAGAUUUCUGAUAAACAAGUUCUGAUUCAUAUCCGAAACAUGUAAUGCAUUGAUUAGAGUAAUGAUUUUCCCGGAAGUGAAGAUAAUAUCAAUAUUUCCCUUGCCAAUUACUUUAGAUUGCACUUCGUUACCCAUUUGAAUCUCUUGGCUUCCAUCCAUCUCAUGAUAUGUUUUGAACGAGGAUUUAUCAUAUAAUACAUGUCUUGUUGCACAAGUAUCAUAUCGCCACUCGAAUACUUUUCCUUUGAUAGUAUUUAUUUUGCUUAUGGUGGCCACAAUUUUGUCCUCUUGGAUGAAAUUCACUUUACCUUUGGAGUUGAUUUGUUUUUGGUGUCUAUACUCCUUAGCGUAGUGACCAGAUUUUUCAUAAAAAAAACAUCCUCCUUUGGUCUUCUUCUUCGGCUUGUUAAAGUUCCUUAAAGGCUUCCUCUUGUUGGAUUUUGUAGGGGGAUUGGAUUUUUCAACAGCAUUUACCUUGGAAGUUCCCUUCAAAGAAUUUUCACGCUUGUCACGCAAUCGGAAUUUUUCCUCAAUUCGAAGAUAUUUUUGCAAUUGUUCUAAAGAAUAAUCUUUGAAACUAUGUAUUAUUUUCUUCCGGUAUCCUUUCCAAGUCCCCGGGAGUUUAACGAUUAUAGCCCUCACUUGAAAGGUCUUCGAGAUUUCAAUCUUUACCGCCUUUAAUUUGUUGACAAUUACUUGCAACUAUGCACUUGGGGAAUAAGGAGAAUAUUUUCUAAGAAUUUAAAAUCAAAGUACUUCGAAAUCAAAACUUCUUUUUAUCUUCCUCAUCCGCUUUGUACUUACUUUCCAAUGCAUUUUAGAUUUUUUUUGCCGAAGAAUUGUUGGUAUGUAGAUCAUAUAAGCGAUUGGACAAAGCAUUCAAAAUAUGACCACGACGAAUCAACUCAUCUUCUUGGCAUUUUUGUCCCUUUUCCUUGAUCGCUUCAAUUUCUCCAUUUGUUGGUUCCGGCAAAGGCGCCAAAUCUGGAUCGAGAAUGUAGAAAGUCAUCAACGUUGUUAAUAGGAAUUUCAACUUGUCUUGCACCGCGUGAAGUUUGUCCCGUCAAAACGAUCCAAUCUAACCAGAUCUUGAUUCAUAAGUUUAAUGGUCGCCAUGGUUGUCUCGUUCUCCAUCGCAGGACGAACAUAGUUUAUUACUGUUGGAAAACAUGGAGGAGAAAUGGAGUAGAGAAUAUAAUAAUAUCACAAUAAUGCAACAACAAAAUAAUUAACACCAAAAUUUGAUAACGCAUAAUUACUGUCCUCAAACUAUAUUUGCCUCUUCUCGGGAUUUAUUGAGAUGCUUAAGAAUUUUGGAAAAUGGUUUGUAGGAUUAUCAAACCUUGUAAAGGAUCUAGCACAAAAGUACAAGUGUGAUCCUCCAAAACUUUAAGAACACAAGGAAGAAAAGAGUAAGAAUGUAAAUCAAGUGUUUGAUCUUGGAUGUUGGAAUGAAUGUUAAUCUCAAGUGUUUUUCUCAUUUUUUCUUUUGAGAUUCAUCACCUAUUUAUAGGCAAACACCAAGUAUGCAUGAAAUGAUGCCAAAAUAGGUUGAAAAGCCACCAAAACUUGUUUAAUUGAAAACCUAUGAUUACCGAACUGUUACAUUGGCCCGUAUAAGAAGACCAUAAUAGCAAGUGCAUCUGGUAAUCUACUUACACACGUAGUUUUUGUCUAUAUAUUUUUAUUUUACAAGAGCUGGUUCCCUAAUAGGUAAUUAAGUUCUUUUCUUCAUCUUGUUAUUAUUUGUAGGAUUCUUGGCUUUGUCUUCAUGGUGCUUCUUCUAUGGUCAAGUUGAGCAACAUGCAGCCCCUUCAAAAUUGUUGAGCUUGCUUGCAUUGCUGGCGUCCACGUUUCUAUCAUGAUAAUGAUUACUUUAUGGGGAAAAAGAAUUUGCAAGUAUGACGAUCCACUGAAACAAUAUCGAAUGGUUUUUACUUCAAUUUUCAUGAGGUAUGGAUGUUAACUACUUAUUCAUGAUCUAAAUAUUAUUUGAUAUGUCAAAUAUUGUCUAGUACAAAGAGUAGUGUUGGUAUUGACUGAAGAAUUUUACAUAUACCUUCUUGAAUGAGAUGAUUUAACAUCACAGACCUUUUCCUAUUCUUGAAGCAUCUGGAGAAAAAUAAUUUGAAUGUAUGAGUGCUUAGUUGGCUAGUGAAGUUCUCAGUUCAUAAAAAUCCUGACUGAUCUUAUUACUUUAUCUUCAUGGUCAGAAGGGAUAGAAAAACUCUUUCUAUAAAAUCUAUGUAGGUCCUUACAUUAAAACCUGAUAAUGAUUAGUUAUAUAUCGUCAUCACUACCUGACAGUUAUCCACGGAAGUAGAAGAGCCAGGAUUUCAAACUAGAGGAGAGGAGAGCACAUGACUGAGAUAUAAUCCUGUCAUUUGUGGAAGAAACUUAGAUUUUUCCUAUUAAAGAAAAGAAACAGUUUGAUAAUUGAUAUAAAAUAAUCUAUAUAGGAACAUACCCAUAUCCUAGCAUAUGUCAUCUGGACUUUGCGUUGAUUUUAUGUAUCUUCUAUCGGAGAAUUUAUGGGAAUAAAGGGAAGAAAGGUGGACAAAAAAUUGUCUACCUUAAAGGGUUAGAGCAGGAAAUACAAUGCAACCAAAAGAUUAUUUGGAGAAAUAUUUUAUCAGUUCCUAAUCUCUAGAAAUUAUAAGAGAGCAGCAGUAAAGAUUCAGUGUAAGCUUAGGAUCAAAUGCAAUUGAAAGAUAUGAUUUUUCGUAUUUGUAAUGCAUAAGGAUGUUUGCAAUCUAAAUUUAUCAUACGCUUGGGAUCACAUGCAAUUGAAUUAUACGAUACUGCAUGUUCGUAAUUUAUGGCACAUUAUUGCAAUCGAACUUUCGUAUAAGCUUAGAAUCACAUGCCAUUCACAUAAAUGAUCACAUGCCAUUCGCAUAUUCGGGCCCAAGUGUGUCACAUGUGGUACUUCAAAACGAUAAUGUGUCAUUUCCCAUAACCUUUGGCAUAUUUGUAAUUGAAUACAUUUAUUUGAACGUAGGUUGCAGAGAUGGGAGCACGUACAUGAUCCGAUAAGCCAAACAUCAUAUUUGGUGCACGUACAUGGGAUGCAGUGUCCAGUGACAAAGCGUGGGAUUUUAUAUUUUUCUUUAGGGUGUAAAAUUUUCGCCUAGUUCAAACAGUUGAUGUGAUAUUUGUUCGAACUGGACUUGUAGUUACCUAUAUUUGAAAUGUUUAAACCGA